rnacentral:rRNA from 1 species
UACGUAGGUGGCAAGCGUUGUCCGGAUUUACUGGGCGUAAAGAGCGCGCAGGCGGUCGUUCAAGUCGCGUGUGAAAGCCCCCGGCUCAACUGGGGAGGGUCACGCGAUACUGAUCGACUCGAAGGCAGGAGAGGGAAGUGGAAUUCCCGGUGUAGUGGUGAAAUGCGUAGAUAUCGGGAGGAACACCAGUGGCGAAGGCGACUUCCUGGCCUGUUCUUGACGCUGAGGCGCGAAAGCUAAGGGGAGCGAAGUG